rnacentral:rRNA from 1 species
UACGUAGGGGGCUAGCGUUGUCCGGAAUCAUUGGGCGUAAAGCGCGCGUGGGCGGCCCGGUAAGUCCGCUGUGAAAGUCAAAGGCUCAACCUUUGAAUGUCAGCGGAUACUGCCGGGCUAGAGUCCGGAAGAGGCGAGUGGAAUUCCUGGUGUAGCGGUGGAAUGCGCAGAUAUCAGGAGGAACACCAACGGCGAAGGCAGCUCGCUGGGACGGUACUGACGCUGAGGCGCGAAAGCGUGGGGAGCGAACAGG